rnacentral:rRNA from 1 species
GACAGAGGGUGCAAACGUUGUUCGGAAUUACUGGGCGUAAAGCGUGUGUAGGCGGCCAUGUAAGUCAGGUGUGAAAGCCCCGGGCUCAACCCGGGAAGUGCACUUGAUACUGCGUGGCUUGAGUACUGGAGAGGUUGGUGGAAUUCUCGGUGUAGAGGUGAAAUUCGUAGAUAUUCGGAAGAACACCAGUGGCGAAGGCGACUUACUGGACGAUUGUUGACGCUGAGGUGCGAAAGCGUGGGGAGCAAACAGG